UGUGUUACGGGGAUACUGGACCGACUACUUUUGUUCCGUCCUCCAUCGUUUUCUCCCGUGCAAUGGCGUCCGGGCUGGUAAGAUUGCUGCAGCAGGGGCCUCGCUGCCUCCUGGCCCCAGUCGCCCCCAAGCUGGUCCCUCCGGUUCGGGGAGUGAAGAAGGGAUUCCGCGCCGCCUUCCGCUUCCAGAAGGAGUUAGAGCGGCGGCGCCUUCUGCGGUGCCCGCCGCCGCCCGUGCGCCGUUCAGAGAAGCCGAACUGGGAUUACCAUGCAGAAAUACAAGCUUUUGGACAUCGGUUACAGGAAAGCUUUUCCUUAGAUCUUCUCAAAACUGCAUUUGUUAAUAGCUGCUAUAUUAAAAGUGAGGAGGCCAAACGCCAACAACUUGGGAUAGAGAAAGAAGCUGUUCUUCUGAAUCUUAAAAGUAAUCAAGAACUAUCCGAACAAGGGACAUCUUUUUCACAGACUUGCCUCACACAAUUCCUUGAAGACGAGUACCCAGACCUGCCCACUGAAGGCAUCAAAAAUCUUACUGACUUUCUCACUGGUGAGGAAGUCGUGUGUCACGUGGCUAGAAACUUGGCUGUGGAGCAGUUAACACUGAGUAAGGAAUUCCCAGUGCCCCCGACUGUAUUACAGCAGACUUUCUUUGCAGUUAUUGGAGCCCUGUUACAGAGCAGUGGACCCGAGAGGACUGCACUUUUCAUCAGGGACUUCUUAAUUACUCAAAUGACUGGAAAAGAGCUCUUUGAGAUGUGGAAGAUAAUAAAUCCCAUGGGGCUAUUGGUAGAAGAACUGAAGAAAAGGAAUAUUUCAGCUCCUGAAUCAAGACUUACUAGGCAGUCUGGUGGCACCACAGCUUUGCCUUUGUAUUUUGUUGGCUUAUACUGUGAUAAAAAGUUGAUUGCAGAAGGACCUGGGGAAACAGUAUUGGUUGCAGAAGAAGAGGCUGCUCGAGUGGCCCUUAGAAAACUUUAUGGAUUCACAGAAAAUAGACGGCCUUGGAACUAUUCCAAGCCCACAGAAACCUUGAAAGCAGAAAAGAGCAUCACUGCCAGCCAGCCAGCCAUGGAUGCAGCAGCCUGAAACUUGAGAGCAAAACUUACUCAGCGUGAAGACAAGGAUGAAGACCUUUUUGAUCAUCCAUGUCCACCUAAUGGCGUGAAGACAAGGAUGAAGACCUUUUUGAUCAUCCAUGUCCACCUAAUGAAUAAGUUAACUUCAACUCCUAGUAAUGGAACACAAAGAUAGAGGACCAAAACCAGUGGUAAAAUGCCAUUUAUGUGUGUUACUCACAAGUAAACAUGAUUUGAUAAGCAUCUCAUUGGCACUGUAGGAGAAAAGAGAUUAUACGACGAACUUUUCUGGAAAGCAAGACAUGUCUUCUGACCACUUAUCCAGCAUCUGUGAGAUGGCAGAAUCUAGCUGUGGAGCCAGCUCACCUUGUUCUUGCCUCGCCUUUGGAUAAGAAUUUGAUGUAUGAACAAUUCACCUCUGAUGUGAAGGUAUGGAUUUUUGAGCUCUUUUCUAUUCCCUGGAAAGAAGGAAGAGUGCAGGGCUGCCAUAGAUAAAACUUUUAAAAGACUUUUUUGCAGGCCUCUUCUUGGUGUGUCUUCCUACUUCCUUUUGUUGAUAGGAGAAGAUGCACUGUGGAGGCAAGGGAAUCCUGUGUCCAUCGAGACAGUUCCUGAAGCCAGACGUAGACAGUCUUCCCAUCAGGGCGGCCAGCUCACAGCAUCCCUAGCAGAGGGCUGUGCACUGAGGAUGCUCAGCUGCUGGCAUGCUGCCCAAGUUCUCCAUCCUAAGCCCACUUUGUUUUUCUUCCCCUCAGUUCUUACCUGUUCCAUCUCCCCCAGCCUUAGUUUGCAAAGUCCCUCAACUGUUGUCCUCUGGGACCUAGAGGCUCUUAACUUUGGUUGGGUAUCAAAGCACUUACUUGAAAGCCAUGGUUCUCUCUGUAUAAUACCAAGAACGAUUGCUAGAUCUAAUCCCAUCAUGCAAAGCAAUAACAAUUUUUCCUGGAACUUAUGCAAUCAAAAAUCACAAUUACACGCACUCCUGAAAAAAGCUGUUUUGGCAUUGGUGGUCUUUGUGCUUUCCAUGACUAUUUAUUUGUUGUUCAUUUAUCUGCCUGCCUAUUAGUGUUUACUAACUACAGAAGACUAAUGGUUUAAGAAAACUUUCUGGGAGAAAAACAAUUGGGGAAAUGAAAAACAUUAACUUACUCCUUCUUCAAUUGAGGAAGAACUACAGUAUUUGAUUAUUCAGAGGAGUUCAAGGAGUAUCUUUUCACCUGAGUUGUGUAUUAAAAUUGCAAAUGAAGGCGUGGCACCGAGACUUAUGCUUGUAAUCUCAGCACUUUGGGAGGCCAAGAAGACAUGAGUAAAGAGGUCAUUGACAGAGAAGGAUAUUUCCGAGAGGGGAAGAGUUUGACUUUCUGACGAUGCUUCCUGUACAUAAACUAUUGAUGUCAGCAUCUUCACAUGAAGACAUAUCAAGUCUUGCACUGUCGCCCAGGCUGGAGUACAAUGGUGCGAUCUCGGCCCACUGCAAUUUCCGCCUCCCGGGUUCAAGCAAUUCUCCUGCCUCAGCCUCCCAAGUAGCUGGGAUUACAGGUGCCCACCACCACUGCCAGCCAGUUUUUUGUAUUUCUAACAAAGAUGGGGUUUUGCCAUGUUGGCCAGGCUGGUCUCGAACUCCUGACCUCAGGUGAUCCACCCACCUUGGCCUCCCAAAGUGCUGGGAUUACAGGCAUAAGCCACCGCACCCGACCAGAAAUGGAAUUUUUAAAGUUAAUGUUAAAUAGCCACAUGUGGCCAGAAGCUCCCUCAUUGGCUAGCUCAGUUCUGGAGCAUGCCAAUUAGAACAUCACAGAUGCAAUGAGAUAAGAGAAUAAGGAACUAUCUUAUAUUACUGAUUAAAUAAAAUAGUAAAAGCUAAAAUAUAUUAGUGCCCACUCUUGUACCAACAAGAAGCCAACCUCUGUACAAAGAUGAACUUAUACUUCAUAACUGUAAUAAGCAGUCAGCACUACUGUUGUCCUUAUAUUAAAGAUGAGGCUUAAGGCCAGAGCCAAGUUUGAACCAUGACUCACAGAGCAAAAAUCUACCGUAUUAACACUUCCCAAGGUAUAACAAUAGAGUGGGCUUACAAAGUGAUAUGGUUUGGCUCUGUGUCCCCACUCAAAUCUUGCCUUGAAUUGUAAUAAUCCCCAUGUAUCAAGGGCAGGACCAGUUGGAGAUAACUGAAUCAUAGGAGCAGUUUCCCCCAUACUUUCUCGUGGUAGUGAGUGAGUUCUCACGAGAUCUGAUGGUUUUAUAAGGGGUUUCCCACUUCCCUCGGCUCUCAUUCUCUCCCCUGCUGCCCUGUGAAGCGAUGCCUUCCACCACAAUUGUAAGUUUCCUGAGGCUUCCCUAGCCAUGUGGAACUGCGAGUCAAUUAAACCUCUUUUUCCUUGUAAAUUACCCACUCUAGGGUAUUUCUUCAUAGCAGCGUGAGAACAGACUAAUACACAAAAUUUGAAGUUCUACAGCUUCUAGCAAAAUUGAACUAUCACAUUUAUAUAAAUAUGGAAAAGUCAGUAGAUGUCAAAAGUGUUCCAAAGGGAUGCUGAGCCUCUCUGUUAAAAACAAUCUGCAAAACCUAAAAUCCUGUCAGUGUGUAAAAGAUUCCAUCACAUCUGUAAACACAGCCUUUAUUUUCCUAUCUCUUUAACAUGGGUGGUUAUAUUAUUCAAAGUGUCUGCAACUAUUGACAUUAGGGAAAUGGAUUAUGGGCACCACUGCUAGAUGUAACGAAGAGUGCAAUAUACCUUUUGAAAUUCUAACAAAGAGGGAAUGAUGGAAGAGGAGAGUCACUUACCUGUAGGAUUAUGUCGGAUGAAAAACAGAAAAGGUCUGUCUACUAUAAACCAGGGAGGCGAUGAUCUUGCAAUGAGAAUUGCAGCUAUGGGAAGAAAAGGAAAAUGUGUUGUGCACAUUACGUGAAGUCAUGUAAGCAUAAGGCCAGCAAGUUAGCUAGCUUCAUGGACCCUCAGAGGCUGGUGUCUGAAGACACACUUAAUGCUUGUUCCAUAGGCUGGCCAUGUUACAACAGGCUCAACGGUCACCAUUUACUAAGCCUACCUUGGGCCAGGCCCUUUACAUUACUCUCUCAUCUCUUCUACACAAGCACCAUCUCUGAUAAACGUACUUACUCCUCCUAGAGUUUUGAUGAGAAUUAAAUACGACAUAUUACAGCUCUUAGAACAGUGUUUGCCACUAAACACAUCUAAUGCAUAUUUAUUGUUAUUAGCUAUUUUUUAUUCACACCAUCUGCUUUGCUGAUAAAGCUGCCGGUCCUUUUUCUUUUUUGGGAUGGAGUCUCACUCUGUCACCCAGGCUGGAGUGCAGUUGCGUGAUCUCGGCUCACUGCAACCUUUGCCUCCCAGGUUCAAAUGAUUCUCCUGCCUCAGCCUCCUGAGUAGCUGGGAUUACAGGCAUGCGCCACCACACCCGGCUAAUUUUUGUAUUUUUAGUAGAGACAGGGUUUCACUAUGUUGGUCAUGCUGGUUUCGAACUCCUGACCUCAAGUGAUCCACGUGCCUCAGCCUCCCAAAGUGCUGGGAUUACAGGCGUGAGCCACCGUGCCCGACCCCUGGUCCUGUUUAGCUUCUCUAAAUCUUUUUUGUAUAUAAAGGCCCAGCCCAAUUAUCAGCUUUUGUAUCUGUGCCUUCUCCUUUGGCACACUAUUUAGGUUUCCUUUGCACUGGAAUGUAGACCACUCAUCCGGGACCUUCUACCUUAUACUGCUGUUCAACUUACCAGGUGUAGGCAUCUGACUUGGAAAGCAAACUUCUUUAGGCUCAUGGGUCUUGGCCAUUCCUCGUCUGCCAGGCUUGCUUCCAUUUAAUAAGCCUGAACCAGGGCCUCAAGGGAGGGUAGGUGUGUGGCAUUACUACCACAUGCCUGUUGCAAUAGCUCAGUCCUCUUGCUCAAACCCCAUGAAGUAUUGAACACUUGGGCUUGAUGUUAUAAAGGAAACACCUGCAGUUAUGCUGGGGCAAGCCCUUUUACUCAAGGUUAUUAAAAACAAAUAUUAAAUAGCAGGUGUUAUGGACUGAACUAUGUCUCCCCCCAAAUUCAUAUGCUGAAGCCCCAAACCCCUAAUGUGACUGUAUUUGGAGAUAAUGCCUUUGAGGAGGUAAUGAAGGUUAGGUAGGGUUCUAUUCUAAUAGGACUGUUGCCCUUAUUUGAAGUGGGAGAGACACCAGGGAUGUGUCGAAUGGAGAAAAGACCAUGUGAGGACACAGGGAGGGGGCGACCUCUGGAGAUCCAGAGAUAUCAGGAGAAACAAACCUGCCAACACCAACACCUUGAUCUUGAACUCCCAGUCUCCAGAAGUGUGAGUUCUGUUGUUUAAACCACCCAGUCGAUGGUAUUUUGUCAUGGCAGCCCAGGCAGACUAAGACAGGAGGACCUGGGCAGUUACAUGGGGCCUUGCACUGGGUUUAAUACUCUGCUGUUGCUAUCUUGAAAUUCUUAAUACAUUUUGAACAAAAUAUUUUCAUUUUGCACAGGACCCCACAAACCAUGUAGCUGGUCCUGAUAGUUACACUCGGCAAAAUUGGUCAAUAACUUUUAGAUGUUACUUAAAAUUACCUAGAAAAGACAAAAAACAUCUUAAAAUUUCCAACCUUCUCAUUUCAGGGUCUUUGUUUUCAAUACUUCUUUAAAGGAAUUUUAAAAAUGUUUAUUCGAGAAAGGCAAUAACACAUCUAUUGUGAGUAUAACUGGUAUGUUUCAAUGACCAGAGAUAUUUGACCCAGCUGCAAGUGUAGCUAAGAUUUUCACUUUAUGGGCUCACAGAGUUGGCCAAAUCUAUUCAUCUAUUUUCCUAUGGAUAAUGAGGGGUGAAAAAACUGACUUAGGAUUGUUCUGUUUUCUCCUUCAUUAUAUAAACCACUGAGAAGGAAGCAGAUGUGGAUGUUCUAAUUAUCAAGGAAGGCUGUACAGCAAUCCUGCCGCAAUUCAACAGAUGCUGGCGAAUUCUUUGGUUUAUCCUGGAUAGACCUGAUUGCCUAUUUUCCUUUAAGUACUUGUUGUUUAUUUUAUGUUUAAAUCUUAAGAUUGGUCUUUUUUGCCAGUAAGAAGCCAGAACAUGUUUUAUCCUCCUGAGAACAGGGGUCAGCAAACUAUUUUCCUCAAGGCAAGUCUACCAGGACAAAUCCUGUUUUUAUAAAUAAAGUGUUAUUGGAACACAGCCACAUCUGUUUACUUGUAUUGUUGAUGGCUGUUUUCAUGCUACAAUGACAGAGCUAAGAAGCUGUGAUGGAGACGGUAUGACACACAAAUCUGAAAUACAUACUACCUGGCUCUUUAUAGAAGUUUGCUGACUCCUGUCCUAGAGGAAUUUCUCUCACUGAAAUGCUUUUCUUUAAUGAAACAGAUUCUGAGCUUUGUGGUUACAGGUCUUCAAUCUGUCUGUACUCACUGCUGUCUCCCGAGGGUUAACCCACACACAGUGCCUGGCUGGAAAGAAGGUGCAUUACAUAUUUGCUCAACCAAUGAGUAUACAGGAAUGUGUUUGCUCCCCUGCUAGAGGAAGCCCUGCCACGUGACCCAGUGCUUACUUGUUGCUGCUGAAGCUUUGGUUCCAUCUUCACUCACUUCAAUUUUUGCUUUUUGCAAGAUAUGAGAAACAUGGAGGUUUUCUGUCCCUGUUUCCAGAAAAUAAAACAGUAUCAGCAUUUGUUUGAUAGGCAGGCCAUUGGUUGGUUGGGGAAGUAACCUCAAAGCUCAAAGCCAUGGCAAAUUCCAAUUUUUAAAGUCUGUCAGAAGACGUGACCUCUGACAGUCCUGGUGUUGAAGGCUGCAGACAGCUGUUACUUGUGAAUUUCAGUCCCUGCUACGUGAACUGUGAUAUUCACUUCUGGAGAGGGGCCCAGGCCCUCAAAUGAUUUAGUGCCUCUAUCAAUUCAAUUCUGAUCACUAGAAUUAUAUUUUAAAAAUGAAAAGAGCAGAGCUUUAAAAAGGAAGCCCGGUUUUCUGGAAGCAGCAAGGCAACAAGAUUACUUUUCAGUUACAGAAUGCAGAUGCAGAAGGGAUUUCAGACAGCAUUUACAGAUGGGGAAACUGAGGCCUAGAAUGUUAAGUAAUGUUCCCUGCAAUCAUAUGGCUAGUUAGUGGCAGAGUAAGUCCUGGCUCUUCACAACAGCCACUCAUCUCAUGGGCAUGCUAGUGAGAGAAGAGUGUCGAACAAGAAAAGAGUUUAGAUUUUCCUGGAAGGGCCAAUGCGUAAAUGCAGUUGUGCCUCAGGGACAUUCUGGUGAACUCACUUUACUUCUCAGCAAAUUCUGACCAUUCUAGCAACACCCACUGGAUGUAGCUUUCACAGAGAAUGAAAAACUUAAUGUCAACUUAAAACUUAAGUUGACAUUAGUCUGGAUGGGACAUAGGUCUGGAUGCAAAGGGAUAAUGUGCUUUUUGUGUCAUCUGCUUUUGAACUGUCUGCACCAAUGACCAGCUCUAAUAUGACCAAAUUGUGACUGAGAUGCACAUUUAUAGGGCCCAAGUCACAUGCAGUGUUAAAGAGGACUUUCCAGGAGAAUUUGGGGCACCUGGUUCUUCCUGUGAACACCCCCCCAUUUAGUAUUUCAGCUACCACGAAUAACCUUGAAGGGAAAAGUGCAGAUGAAAAUGGUGCUUCUCAGUCUUUGCUGGGCUGAGGGACUGUUAAAAUGGAUUCUGGUUCAGUGGGUCUAGGUUACACCCAAGAUUGUGCAUUUCAAACAAGCUCCCGGGUGAUGCUAAUGCUGCUGGGCUGAAGGCCUGAGUUUGAGUCAUGAGGGAUUAAUGGCUAUCAGAAUAUCCACAGAGCUGCAGGUUCACCAGGGGAGUCAUGUUUGUCCCCAGAACAGGUACUAGGUGUUUACUAGCAUGCAACUGAAGCUGGUAAUGAGCUAAUUUCUUACCACUCAAGGUUAUUUGCAAACUGGAGUGCAAAUAAUGUUCAAGCCAUGGCUUUUCCUUGGAAAGAUUGCUAUGUUCUAAAUUUAAAGAACAAAGGACUGACCAUUCAAACAUAACUCUAGAAAAAGGUACAUAUACUGCUGGCACAUGAAAAGCAUGCCUUAAUUGCUUUGGCAAAGGAAAGUUUUAAUCAGAUUCAUUUGAAUUUAUAUUGCUUCAGAUUAAUGAGCAUGAAAUGCCAAAAUACAUAUCUGGGUAUAGUGAAUGCCUGCAGUCUUGAUUUUUUUUCAAGCAAAAGGAAAAAGUUGGCAUUUGAAAACAGAGUGACAAUACCUAAGUCAGAGCCAAUAUUCAUAAAAGCAAUACAUGACAUAAUCCUUUAGGUAGUCACUGGGGCUUCCCAUGAAAUGUACAUGCAAAAUGUGGGGAUGCUGAUUUACAUGAAGGUCAAGAGCAAUGACUAGAUAAAGAAAAUGAGGUAUAUACACACCAUGGACUACUACUCAGUCAUAAAAAGAAUGAAAUAGUAUCUUUUGCAGCAACUUAAAUGGAGCUGGAGGCCAUUAUUCUAAAUGAAGUAACUCAAGAAUGGAAAACCAAAUACUGUAUGUUCUCGCUUAUAAGUGGGAGAUAAGCUAUGGGUAUGCAAAGGCAUACAGAGUGGUAUAAUGGACUAUGGAGACUCAGAAGGAGGAGCAUGGGUUGGUGAGGAGCUAAAAAUCUAUUAAUACCUAUUGGGUACAAUGUAUACUAUUCGGGGGAGGAGUGUACUAAAAUCUCAGACUUCAUUGCUAUAUAAACUGAUCCAUGUAACCAAAAACCACUUGUAUCCCAAAAACUAUUGAAAUAAAAAGAUAAAAGAAAAAUAAAUAAUAAAUGAAGGUCAAUAAAUAAACGAA